GCCUCUGCAGCUCAGUUGGUUAGAGCGCUGCACCGGAAUCGCAGGGCCGUAGGUUCAAUUCCUACCAGAGGAC
rnacentral:tRNA from 1 species